rnacentral:rRNA from 1 species
GACGAACGCUGGCGGCGUGCCUAAUACAUGCAAGUCGAACGCAGUUGCGAACGGGUGAGUAACGCGUAAGUAACUGCCUCAUAGCGGGGGAUAACUAUUGGAAACGAUAGCUAAUACCGCAUACUGUGAGAUGGACCUGCGUUGUAUUAGCUAGGUGGUGAGGUAAAGGCUCACCAAGGCGACGAUACAGAGCCGACCUGAGAGGGUGAGCGGCCCAAAUGGGACUGAGAAACGGCCCAGACUCCUACGGGAGGCAGCAGUAGGGAAACGUCGGGAAUGGGGGGAAGUCUGAACGAGCAACGCCGAGGGAGUGGAGAAGGUUUUCGGGUCGGAAAGCUCUGUUGUUAGAGAAGCGGUAACUAAAGAGAAAGGAACGGCUAACUACGUGCCAGCAGCCGCGGUAAUAC